AUAAGUUCUUGCUGACGGCAAUUGGACGGCAAUUGAACGCCCUGAAUUAUUGUGUGCACAGAUUUUCACAAGAAUUCACUGAUCUAGGGCAGUGAAAUGUGUAUCUAGCACGCCAGCAAACUUUUGACGGUCAGGAUGAACAAUUAAGGUAUUUGCACGUUUUAGCGAAUAGUAGAAUAGAAUUGGGUGUUGCAAAGCAUUGUCAAUUAAUUAUUAGUGUCUAGAGGUUGAAGGUGAUAGAGAGAUCGAACACAUGCACACUUGACUAAAGUUAAUUAACUAGACAUGAUAGUAGACUGAGCUGUAAUGUCUUGAUGUAUGUGAUAUCUAUUGGCUUUA